CAACAACAGGAAAGGAGGUGAUCCAGUGUCUCAUUGUCAUCAGCCGCGGUCGUCUGCGCACCGGACCUGGAUCGUCGCCUCCGGCUUCACGGCCUGAGCAUACGACGAACAAUCCAGAAUCGGUGAACGAUUCUGAUCGACCAGUCGGACCGCGGUUCGGCAAUGGAAGGGCUGCCCUGGCGACGGGGUGGCCCU
rnacentral:sRNA from 1 species